rnacentral:SRP_RNA from 1 species
UCGUGCUAGACGGGGAGCUAGCGGUGCCCUGUACCCGCAAUCCGCUACAGCGGGGUGGAACUCCCCUUCGCGGUCCGACCCUUCGGGACUGGCGCCGUAAGUGGCGUUGAUGGCCAGGUCCUGCACGGCGAAACUCGUGAACCCCGCCAGGUCCGGAAGGAAGCAACGGUAAGCGAGCACUUUCGGGUGUUGUAGGGGUGCCUGGCCAGAGCCGGCUGCGGUGGCUAAGCUGGAGGAUCGUGAUCAACAAGGGGUGCACGA